rnacentral:rRNA from 1 species
UACGAGGGGGGCUAGCGUUGCUCGGAAUCACUGGGCGUAAAGGGUGCGUAGGCGGGUCUUUAAGUCAGGGGUGAAAUCCUGGAGCUCAACUCCAGAACUGCCUUUGAUACUGAGGAUCUUGAGUUCGGGAGAGGUGAGUGGAACUGCGAGUGUAGAGGUGAAAUUCGUAGAUAUUCGCAAGAACACCAGUGGCGAAGGCGGCUCACUGGCCCGGUACUGACGCUGAGGUGCGAAAGCGUGGGGAGCAAACAGG